CUCUAUUCUCUUCACGAGUAGCGGCUACCUCAGUUUGGACAGCUGUUAGUUGAUUUUGUAAUUGUGCAAGCUGUCUGGUGAGGGCCUCAAUUUGGGCGGGGUCCAUGGUAAGGUUACUAGAGCUAGAGGCAGUAACGCGACCACUACGCAAUUGCAUACACGGUAACACGACUACGUAAAGUGCACUACUGAGAUCAAUAAUCAACAAUCAACUAGUGCCAACCGAAAAAUUAGUUAUUGAAAUUAUUAUUAUUAUUUAUUUAUUUAUUUUUUUUUUGUUAUUUUGUCAAUUUAAAGGUUGGGGUUACUUAUGGCUCGAUCGCAAGCUAAUACUACUAAUGCUAAUAAAAUAGAAAAGCAAAUGUCCAAAUACUAGGUCUAGUCACGUGGGGUAAACGAUUGAGUAAUGGAAUUUAGUUCGUGAAAUAUAAUCGAAUAGGUUUAAGGCAGUAUUAUCAAAGGGCUAGUACAUAUCAAUGGAAUUUAGUUCGUGAAAA
rnacentral:lncRNA from 1 species